rnacentral:piRNA from 1 species
UAGAAGUCAGUUCAGCUAGACUGAACCG